rnacentral:lncRNA from 1 species
GCAGCCUCAUUAAUGAUCUGUCUCAGGAGUAAAGAAACCACCAAGGAGAUCAACUUGGCAAGAUUUUCACUUCAGAUUCCCCUGACCUCUACAACAAGUUUGGUUGUCUCAUAUUCUCUCCAGUUCCUUAGGCCAGCUCAAGUUUUAUCAGUAUCUUUUGGACCCAAUGAGUCCUUCCUGGCCUCACUCCAGAAGAAGACUGGCCUCAGUCCAGAGAAACAAAAAAUGUGAAAUUCACCCACUGGAACUCUCCUUCUCCAAGUAUCAGUCUCCUUCCAGAAUUUCCGGCUUCUGGUCUCUUUUCAAGGAAUUUAGAAGCUUCUGGGAGCCUUCUGCAUUCCGUGGUUUGGGUCCCUUUCCUCCAUCUUCAAAACCAGUCUAACAGCAUUUUCAUAUCUCUAUGAUACUAAUUUCCUCUUUUUUGAGGCAUAAACAUAUUUUCAUUGAAAAUCGUGAAGAAUUGAGAAGGAAAGGAGUCUGAAAUUUUAAAUGGUGAGAGUUGUUUUAUUAUCAUUAUUAUUAUACUUUAGGUUCUGGGAUAGAUGUGCAGAACAUGCAGGUUACAUAGGUGUAUAAGUGCCAUGGUGGUUUGCUGAACCCAUCAACCCAUCAUCUACAUUAGAUAUUUCUCCUAAUGCUAUCCCUCCCCUUGCCCCCCACGGCCUGACAGGUCCCCAUGUAUGAUGUUCCCCUCCCUGUGUCCAUGUGUUCUCAUUGUUCACCUCCUCUUUCUGUUAAAAGAACUCCUGUGGUUACAUUAGGUUCACCUGGAUAAUCCAUGAUAUUCUUCUUAUCUCAAGGUUCUUAAUUUAAUGACAUCACAUUUAGCCAUUUUCCAUAACACAUUCACAGGUUUGGGGAAUCUGGACAUGGAAUCUUUGUUGCAAGGGGCAAUUAUUCUGCCUCCCAUACCAUCCAAUUUCCAACUGAUGCUAAAAAUAACCUUGCCUUUGAUUUUCAUAGUGAUGGUCUCCAGGUGUCCAUUUGGCUCUACCUUAGUAGAAGACUUGCACAGAAGAUAGCCUUAAGCAGAUUGAGGUCAAAUCACAGCAUGGACAGGCUUGUGCAAGAAGUUUAGGGUAAUGAAGAUGUUUCCUGCCAGAUCUCAAAGCUACAGCUUUGAACAAUGAUAAGUUUCAAAGUGGGAUCACUUGAAAAAGGCAGCAGGAGAGGCUAAGGCUUGGUUUAGGAAACAAAGUUCUGAGGCAAAUAGAUAAUUUAAAGGAUAGCCAGGCAGCUUUAUCCUG